GACGAACGCUGGCGGCGUGCUUAACACAUGCAAGUCGAGCGGUAAGGCUCCUUCGGGAGUACACGAGCGGCGAACGGGUGAGUAACACGUGAGCAAUCUGCCCUUCACUUUGGGAUAACCACCGGAAACGGUGGCUAAUACCGAAUACGACCACUUCAGGCAUCUGAUGGUGGUGGAAAGUUCCGGCGGUGAAGGAUGAGCUCGCGGCCUAUCAGCUUGUUGGUGAAGUAAUGGCUCACCAAGGCUUCGACGGGUAGCCGGCCUGAGAGGGUGACCGGCCACACUGGGACUGAGACACGGCCCAGACUCCUACGGGAGGCAGCAGUGGGGAAUAUUGGACAAUGGGCGAAAGCCUGAUCCAGCAACGCCGCGUGAGGGAUGACGGCCUUCGGGUUGUAAACCUCUUUCAGCGGGGACGAAGCGAAAGUGACGGUACCCGCAGAAGAAGGACCGGCCAACUACGUGCCAGCAGCCGCCGUAAGAC
rnacentral:rRNA from 1 species